rnacentral:sRNA from 1 species
GCUGGGCAUGGUGCCUCACGCCUGUAAUCCCAGCAGCCUGGGAGGCUGAGGCAGGAGGAUUCCAAGUUCAAAGCCAGCCUCAGCAAUGGCGGGGCACUAAACAACUCAAUGAGACCCUGUCUCUA